UAACCCUCGAGCCUGGCUUGGUAUUGGGGCCUACUGUUACCGGCAGUCCUUAAAAUCAGUGGCGGUGCCAUCUGGCUCUAAGCGUAGUAAUACUUCUCGCUACAGGGCCUGGUGGAUGCCUGCUAACAACCCCUAAUUUUUCUAA
rnacentral:misc_RNA from 1 species